GGAAAACUGCUUCUUUGAACUAGAUUGACUGGCAACACCUUGGGGUGAAGACAAUGAUAAACCUGUAUAUGGAGGUUGGAGAUCCUGGGGC